GGCGCUAUAGCCAAGUGGUUACGGCGACAGAUUAGAACGUCUGGAUCUCCUCCUGACAUACGAUCUGUUCCUCUUUGAGGGCGCAGGUUCAAAUCCUGCUGGCGUCG
rnacentral:tRNA from 1 species